rnacentral:rRNA from 1 species
UACAGGGGGUGCAAACGUUGCUCGGAAUCAUUGGGCGUAAAGCGUGCGCAGGCGGUUUUGCAAGCCGAAUGUGAAAUCCCCGGGCUUAACCUGGGAAUGGCAUUUGGGACUGCAAGGCUGGAGUGCGGCAGAGGAGACUGGAAUUCCUGGUGUAGCAGUGAAAUGCGUAGAUAUCAGGAGGAACACCGAUGGCGAAGGCAGGUCUCUGGGCUGACACUGACGCUCAUGCACGAAAGCGUGGGGAGCAAACAGG